ACAGUUAAUUAUAUUUACUAGAAGUCUCUCACCUCUCAUACUCAUGCACCUUAAUCAUACACACAGUGGAAAUCUAUAAAGGCCUAGAAUAAAAGGAGUGUGUUUAAAUGCUGCCUUUAGGACAGACAAGAAGAUAUAUCUGAGAUUUUUAAAAUAAGAUAGUUACUAUUCUACUCUGAUGUUUGACUAAAAGUAUUUCUGCAAAAGCGGUUCACCUUCAAGGAGCAUGAUGGAAAAGACUUUGACAAGUUUGACCUGUUAAAAUGCACUAUGCUGACAAUGGAGUGUGGACCAUCUAAAGAGGGGAGAAGGUGGAGGUUGGCAUAUCUUGGACCGGCAUAUCUUGUCCCAUCUCCUCACACCUUCCAGUGUUGCCUUCCCUGGCCAACAUGUAUGGUAUGCACAACUAGAUCAAGUUCUUAAGGCUGCCAACCUCUCUCUACUCAAGGCCAGGUGGACAUGUUCUAUUCCCACAGUUACAGAAUUAUCAAGGAGAAGAGCAAACAUCAUCCAAUGAUUGUAUCCUUUUCUGAAGAAAGAAUCAACAAGUUCUGGUUGUAUACAGGAUUGACUGCAAAAUAAGCUCUUGGCCAAGAAUUUCCAGCUUGCCCAGCAGAUUGUGGACUUACCAAUCCUGAAUCCUCAACCCCCACAAUUACAUAAGCAUCUAUUCAAGACUUUCCAGGCACUGCUCUGUCUGCAAUUUUGUGUUGUUUUUCACUGUACAAGUCUUCUACGUCCUUGAGAGAGGCAGAGACACAGGCAGAGGGAGAGGCAGACUCCCUGCAAGGAGCCCGAUAUGGGACUCUAUCCACACUCCAGGAUCUUGUCCCGAGCCGAAGGCAGGCACUCAACUGCUGAGCCACCCAGAUAUGCAGUGGACCAGAGGGUGGAAUGUAAUGGUGCUCAUCAGUGUGUAAUGAAGCAUAUUUGAAGAGCUGACUUCCUGAAUUGUUAUGGAGAAGGUGUCAGAUAAGUAUUUCUAUAGGCUCUAAAGAUGUGAGAGAAUGAAGUAAUUUGUUGGAAGAAAAUCAUAAGAGAAGUGGGAAUAAUUCAGAACAAGUGCAGGAAACACCUAGAACAACAUGAGAGACAUUUUUAAUUCUUCUCAAGAAGGCAGCAGUGUGGACUACAGAGGACUUUGUUAAAGUUGUUUAAGAAACAAGCAAGCAGGUGGAAGAUGGCUGCACCCUUUCUGAAUACAACAUCCAGAAAGAGUCAACUUUCCACCUCAUCCUGUGCCUGAGGGGUUAUAUGCAGAUCUUCCUGAAGACCCUGACCUGCAAGACCAUUACCCUGGAGGUGGAGCCCAGUGACACUAUUGAAAAUGUGAAGGCCAAGAUCCAGGAUAAAGAGGGCACCCCCCUGACCAGCAGAGGCUCAUCGUUGCAGGUUUUUAUUAUUUUAAUCUGUGUUUAGCACAGAGAAGAUCCUGGAUACAUUUUUUUUUUUUUU